GAAGUUGUUGCAAUAGCAAUGCUUGCCAUGAGGUGUUUGAGAUUGACUGGGAGAAAGAGGCCUACCAUGAGAGAGGUUGCCAAGGAGAGGAAAUCUUAAAGUUUCUCUCAGACCAGCCAAAAUCCUUGUGCAUUUGAAGACGGACUACCUGCUGAAGUCAAUGAAGAAUCAAUAGAUAGCACAUCCCUGUUGCUAGAACUGGUACCAAUCUCAUUAUAAGCUAGAAGAUUCAGUGUUCAUACUGAACUUAACGUUCGUUCAUCCUAGACAGUUUUGGAGAUAGCAUAGGUAGCAUGCAGUUAGCAGCAGCAAUUAUCAAAAUCACCAGAAGAUACCUUUCAGUCAAGUGAUUCCUUUUUACUUCACUUCAGUUUGAUGUUUUUCUCAAGCGCUGAAUACCUAACCAAACUUCAUUCUCAAGGUUUGUUGUAAAUUAAAGUGGGAGAGCUUAUUUUCAUGGGUCAAUAUUAAUGGUCAACUCUCUUUGCAUUAGGUGAUUGAUUCAGUUCUCUUUCCCAAUCACUGAUGAGUAGUGCUUUGGAUAUCUUUCACACCAGCUGCAUCAUAAACUAUCCUUUCUGAUUCCUACUAUAGACUUUUAGAUGCGCACAUCAACUUUGGAGCAACAUGCUGGACAAUAUCUAGCAAAUACGUUGAAGCUGCUCACUUUCUUCAUCUCCUCUGAGUAAUCCUUCAGGUGAGGAUGGUACUGAAGCCUGUGCUUCUAUCUAUUAGGUUCCAGAAUUAGCCUCAACUUGCACUUCUGUUCCGAAUUGCUUCUUGACAAAAUCCAUAGCAUAAUAGGAUAAAAUUAUUUACCAAGUUCAUACUAAAAACAUCAGGACUUUUAUAGCCUGACACAGCUAUCAUCACUCAUCAGAUAUGGUUUCUUCAGAAGAUGCAUCACUGUUGUCCUGUUUACUGAUAUGAUCCUCAAAAUCCCUGGGAAACGUGGCUGCUUCAUGCUGCGUUUGCAAUGAGCAUUUUGCACCCUCAAGUUAAGACCGAGUUGACUGAAGAUGAUUGAACAAGAUCAAUUUUUUAAACCAAGCUCAGUCUGGUACAUUUGAACUUAAUUUAUUAUUCAAAAUACACUGAUGGUCACAGCAUAUACUUUGCUGCUGAAUACAUACAGCGCAUGCUUCUUGAUUGCAAAUUUCUCUGCCCCUCAAUCUAUUAAGAACAGAGAAGCCGCUUCUGCAUCAGGCAAUAUCAAUUUCACAAGAGUAAUGAAGCGGCAGUCGAUGAGAACUUCAGUAUGGCUUCUCUUCAUAACCAUGUAAUCCAAUUUCUUUGCAACACAUGACCCACGUGAUAUUGCCUCGACCUUAGUAGCAAUUAUUAGCGAAUUGGGCCAAAGCAAAGAAAGGACCACAGGAGCAUGAAAGUUGUUGUUUGGGCUUUCUGUCGUGUCAUUUCUAGGCCUUCACGAACAUCCCCUUUUUUCUAUUUUUAGGCGCUGCCCCCCAACUAAAAAACCCCCACCCAUUAAGGAAUUUUUUUUUUUUUUGCCAGCAAAAUUCGCAGUGUUUCGAAAUGUGCAGGGUACGGCAAAUCACAUGAAUCACACUUCUAAAUUCUAUCGAAUCUUAUGUGAAGAACAGUAAUCACAUAUCACCGCCCCAAUCCGUAAAAAGAAAAUAAAAAAAGAAAAGAACCGUUUUCUUUUAGCUUCUAGAAAAGAUCAAUAUGUGAUUUAUGUGAUGCAGGCGCUUCUGGGGUAGAAAGACCUAAAGAGCAGAGUCAAAAGCAAUGAAAAACUAGCACAUUGUUCCUUGCCUCUUUCUGCGAGAACCGAGCAUGCGCAUAUGCCGUAACACUUACAAAAUUUGAAGUGCUCCAAUAUCUUGCAGGACGGGUGAUUCUUUUUUGUCUGCAAGGGAACCGUGACAAUUCUUAGCUCCCUUUUCCCGGUCGUUGAGGACGGUGGAGUGAUAGCAGGCUUGAUAAAACACUCAUAGCAUGAGUCAUGCAUGACGUCUUGAAGGCGGAAUUCUAUGGCCAGUCAACCCCAGCAACUUUGCUCUUGCGUUUACGACAGGUUGGUUCUUCACAUAAAAAGUGCAACAGACGUUUAUGCCAAAUCUCACUUAUUCCAAAUCCACGGAUGUGUCCUCGCUGUCAUCAAGCUAGAACAUUUGGCAUGCGUUUUACAACGUUUGAUUUAUCCCCGACAGGUUUGUAGAUAGCAUGUGUCGCAUCCAGCCAGCAGUUCCAUGCAGUUUGGCAACAUUAAUAUCUUUUAUGGAUUGUCUGUCUUUCUUCUUCUUUUUUGUUGAUAAGAAACUCUUUUUUCUAUAAGCUUCAAGCAAGUAAUAGAUACGUGCUUAUUUGAUUUGCUGGUUGAUGUCCAAUGCGUUUCCUCUGGGACAAACUGAAAGACAAACAAGAAAGAUCAAAAUGAACCAGCGCCUUUUUUGUGGGAUAAAAUGGAAGACUAAAAAGAGCAAAGUCAACGCAAUGACUAAAAAAAAUAUUCCUUGGGGGGAAGGUGAAUAAAAAAAAUAGUGUUUCUUAGGGUCUAUUUGGUAACCAUCUUAUUUUUCUAUUUUUCUAUUUUUUUGUUCCGUGAAACAGAGAAAAAUAGAAAUCCAUUUGGUAAUAUCAAUUAAUUUUUCUAUUCCCCGAAAUAGAAUAGUAGCCUGAGAAUAAUUUGAAUUAAAAACAAGAAGUAAAAGCAAUCUCUUUCUUUAUUCCCGAGAGCAUUAUUUUUUAACAGAAAUUGUUCUAAAAAAUCUCAAGAUUACUGAACACAUCCUUAGUUAGCUCACAUUUCUUGACCCCUUCCCACACAGGCCUAGUUAGUGCACUCGUUGCCGCCUAUAUUUCCUUGGUUUAUNNNNNNNNNNNNNNNNNNNNNNNNNNNNNNNNNNNNNNNNNNNNNNNNNNNNNNNNNNNNNNNNNNNNNNNNNNNNNNNNNNNNNNNNNNNNNNNNNNNNNNNNNNNNNNNNNNNNNNNNNNNNNNNNNNNNNNNNNNNNNNNNNNNNNNNNNNNNNNNNNNNNNNNNNNNNNNNNNNNNNNNNNNNNNNNNNNNNNNNNNNNNNNNNNNNNNNNNNNNNNNNNNNNNNNNNNNNNNNNNNNNNNNNNNNNNNNNNNNNNNNNNNNNNNNNNNNNNNNNNNNNNNNNNNNNNNNNNNNNNNNNNNNNNNNNNNNNNNNNNNNNNNNCGUUCCAGUCUCGUGCGAUGGGACGCUGAGAGGAACAACUUCCUCUAAACGGGCCAAGCAUUCAGGGUGGUCAACCCAGCCAAAAUAACCAAAACUGGGCUUAGGUACCCAUUUUUGCACCUCCUAUCACGGGCGUAGGAGGGCCAAACGUCGGUUGGUGAGGCGCAAAAUCGGCGGUGAAGGGCGGCGGCAUCUCGUGUCGUGAUUGGGGUGAAUCCAUGGGGGGGGGGGGGGGGGGAGAUUUGGAAGUAAUACAGAGUUGGACGAACAGUACUCAAUCGGAGCUAGUUCUCCCAUACCUUACCUUUUGGGUUCAUUUCGAUUUGAUUAAUUCUAUGAGAAUUUUAUAUGAGAAGUCACCCACUAGACUUCCUAUGUAAUCAUAGAUCUAGGGUCGGGAGUUGAUUGCACUAGUUACCAGUACUUAAACUUGAUCAUUUUGUCAACUAAAGUAUUCAAACAGUUUUUUUACAAAGGCAUGAAUCCUUAGGUUCAUGUCCGCUGUCCGCUAAAUGCCAUGCAACUGCCUUUUGCAUUUAUUAUGAUCCUUGUGUGUGGCCUAACAAUUCAACUAGGCUAAAUAAAAUAAGAAAAACUUAAUCAAGGAAAUUAUGAAAUCAAACACAUAAAAAAUGAUAAUAUGAUGAGAGUAAAAGGUGAAGUACAGUAAAGUAACCUAAAACAAGUUGUUCAAAGAAUAUGACAUGGCCUUGUUUUUAAGCCCCAAGAGAGCAUUCCCAUGAGUUUAUUUUCCAAUGUUACUCUCCAAAAGGAGUAACGGUGUGGUCACCCUAACAUUUUCCUUAUCCCUUUUAUUUCCUUUCGGUCAAAUAUCAUGGUUAUCAUAGGCUGGCUUUUAUCUAACGUCUCUUCUCUUCCCUUAAUUUUUUUGAAGUGUAUAUAAUUAGAAUUUACUUGAAAUUUUGGCGAAAAUGUCAGUAAAAGGCGAAAGAAAACACUCCUACUAUCUAUUUGGAAGUUAAGGAGGAGCACAAAUGGUGGAAUAUGUGCUAAGUUUUAUUGCUUUGCGCAUAUUAUAUUUGCUGAAGCAGAGAAUCUUUGUCUAGAUGAGGUUGGUCGGGCUUCUUAUUGCUUAUGUAAAUCUAACAAGCUUUACAGAGCUUAAAUGUAUCAUGCUAUUCGAGAGAGCCCUGUCUACAACAUGGGGAUACUUCAAGGGUUGGUCAUGGACUCGCAUGCCCAACUCCAUGGAAAUACAUUGUUUUCUCCACUCUCUCGCCUUCAUGAAGAAAAUGGAUAGUGGCAUUAAUUUGUUCCGUCGCAAAAUAACUUUCUUUUGUUUCUCCCUCAAGGUGAGGAUCCUAUGGAAUGGUCCUUGUGAAUGAACAGGUUUUCAGAAGUGGGAUGAGCUCAUUUGUGUAUGUUGGCUUGAAAUAAGAGGGAUGAUUCGUUUUUGUAUGCCGUUGUCCGGAACCCUUUAUCCAGCGUACUUGGUCUUUUGAAUCUAUGGGGAAGUUGUGGACAUGAAGGGUAGGAAGUGAGCCAAAAAGAAGAAGAAGAAGAAGAAGAGCUGAGAUGACAUUGAAAUGAUCAAGUUCAUUUUGAUAUGACAUUUAAGUGAGCAAAAAAAAUUAUAAUAAUUAAAUGAGUGUCGUACGAAAAUUAUGACACUCCUACUGUACUUAUCCCCUAAAAGGCUAGCCUGGUUGUGAAAGGGAUCGAAAUCAGGCCAAGGGAUGGGAAAUAGAAAAGCCUUUGUGCAAGGCAUGUGUAAGUUUGUGCAUAUAGCCUUUUCUCUCUUCUCUAUUGUUAUUUCAAUGUUCCGUUGUCAAUUUUUAGCAACUUUCUACAAAAUCAGAAGCAUGCUUGUAAACCAUAUUUUCAGUCUUUUAAGUGGUGAAAGCAUAUGUCAUGAAGCAAAUGGUUCUUGAUCCAAUGACCGAACGCUCGAUGCCUACUUUGAAAUAUGCACAGAGUUUCCUUUUUUAGUAUUCUACCAAAAAAAAGUGAUUAAAUUAUGUCUCGGAUUUAAAUCAUUUAUGAAACCAACUCAACUGGAGAAAGACUAAUCCACGUUAUAAGGCGUGCAAUUUCUUAGGCGUUGAAAUAAUUCUUUGGAGAUAAUAAUAAAGGUCGGCCACAUAUAUUUGUGAUUAAAAAACACACACACACACACAUACAUACAUACAUAUAUAUAUAUAUAUAUAUAUAUAUAUAUAUAUAUAUAUAUAUAUAAUAUUACUUUCUUGUUUUUGGGCUUUAUCUUUGAUCGGAUUGACCAAGGUCAAGUUCUGCACACUCCGGCUGGUGGACGUACCCCUUAGGCCAAUAUUGAGUAGGGGUGUGCAUGGUCCGAGUGGGCACUUCCGACCUAUAAGCGUGAACCGUCUGCUAAGAACCGUUUUAAAAAAUGGAAUGGGAACCACCUACUAAGUGCAAGAAUCCACCCGGGAACNNNNNNNNNNNNNNNNNNNNNNNNNNNNNNNNNNNNNNNNNNNNNNNNNNNNNNNNNNNNNNNNNNNNNNNNNNNNNNNNNNNNNNNNNNNNNNNNNNNNNNNNNNNNNNNNNNNNNNNNNNNNNNNNNNNNNNNNNNNNNNNNNNNNNNNNNNNNNNNNNNNNNNNNNNNNNNNNNNNNNNNNNNNNNNNNNNNNNNNNNNNNNNNNNNNNNNNNNNNNNNNNNNNNNNNNNNNNNNNNNNNNNNNNNNNNNNNNNNNNNNNNNNNNNNNNNNNNNNNNGAGGUAGAAGCGAGACGAGCCCAAUAAUGAGGAGGAUGAUGGUGGCAGUGAAUACGGAAGUGGCGACGACGUGGAGAGAGAGUUUAAGUUCAAGGGAGAAAAAGAGAAUUAACUCACUGUUUCGCCGAGUUCAAACUAGAACUCAAAUUUUGAAUCAUAGAGGAAGAGGGAGCUUAGGGAGAUUUUGAACUGAGAGAGACGAGAUGGAGUAGGAGAGUAGUGAAUUGAGACAAGAUGGUGAUUGGAGCCUUAAUUUUAUAUUGCUAAUUUCGAUUUUUUUUAAUAUUAAAAAUCAAUAUAUUAUUAUAAUAUAAUCGAUCCGGUCCGGAUGGGUGAGUAGACGGAUCUGCCCAAACCGAGAACCGGACCGGUACCCACUGGUUCCCAUAAAUUAGAAUCGGGAACUGAAUCGGUUCCCUUAAGAACCACCGAUUUCGGGCCGUCCGGACGGGUCCCGGUUCUUAUACAUACCCCUAAUAUUGAGCUCUUCCCUUUCUAUAACAGGUACAAAGAAGGGCCCAUAAGUAGGGUAAAGCCAAAGGAAAGAAAACCAAAUAAAAGUAUAGCCUUUAGGUUGUCAUCUUCCGUUCACCGUUUAUUUCUUUGAUGCUUCUGCAUUGACUUAAUUUGCAAAAGCUCGAUUAGUUUCCGCAUUAAUAUUUCAACAAAAGUUGUUGACAUUCAACUUCCUUGUGAGUUGUUCAAGAUACUGAUUUUCAUUUCAUGUUAGAAACGAAAGGGUCUAGUGCUGUUUACUGAGCCAUGGAGUCUGCUCAAAUUCGAGACAAUCAUACUUUAUUAAUUUACGGCCCUACCAAUAAUGUAGACCUUCCGAUGGACUAAGGGAGCAAGAUGUUCUUUUUGGAUCUUAAUGAGCAUCCCACGGAUGACUAAAGGGAAGGAAUUUGUACUUCAGCAAAAGAAGGAUAACCACAGAAGAGCACAUAAUACAUUAAUUAAUAAUCAAAUGAAACCUAUUUUGGGGCCAUCCUGGACAGUUCUUCAGGUUUGCUAUUUGGUCGAAAAAUGGCACCAUCACUGUCAACAGUCUGUAGAAAACUAUCUAAGGGUGCGCAUGACAAAAUUUCUGAAAUGGAAAUUAAUUUCUGAGCAAAAAUUAAUUUCUUAAUUUAUAUUUCAGAAAUUGAGAAGUUAAAAAUUUUAAUUUUUGAUUUCUUCUUCAAAUUUAUUUCUGGAAUAGAAAUUUGUUUCGGAAAUAGAAAAAUCAAAUUAUGUUACCAAGUGGAUUUCUGUUCCAAACUUGUUCCAGAGAAUAAAAAAAUAAAAAAAUAGAUAAGUAGAAAUUUUAUCAUGCGCGCCCUAAGUCUACCGCUACGUUCAACACCGGAUGAGUGGCUUCUAGAUUUGGUGGGACUCUUGGCGUCUUUGUUCCGCAGUUAUUGGUCUCGAAGGUGAUUUUCCACAGCGUGUCAGCCACUGCCACUUUGCGCUUGGUGUUUUCAUCAAUAUGGCAGUCGGUUCUUUGCAUACGAAAGUUGCAGCUAUGUGCAAGCCAAAUCUCAGUUAUUCCAAAACCACGGAUCUGUCCUGCCUCUCGAUCUUAACACCGAUCCUAUUACUCUUACCUCUGUUUAAUCACAUAUCCUACUAUCAACAGCAGUUGGUUUGAGUUGUUUAUGAAACCCAACUCGAUUGGAGAAUGUAGACUGAUCCGCGUUGACAAGGAUAAUUAGGCGUGCAGCUUCUUAGGCGGUCAAAUAAUUCUUUGGAGAUAAUACUAAAGAUCGGCCACAUAUGCAUUUGUUGUUAAAAUCGACCAAGACCAAGUCCUUCCCACUCCAGCUGGUCGACUAACCCCCUUAGGCCGAUAUUGAACUCUUCUCUUUCUUUAACGGGUACAAAAAAGGGCCCACUAAGUAGGGUAAAGCCAGAGGAAAGAAAACCAAAGGCUUUUAUUUGGCUCUAGCCUUUAGGUUCUCAUUUUCUGUUCCUCGUUUAUUUCUUCAAUGCUUCUGCAUUAAAUUAAUUUGUAAGGGUCCGAUCAGUUUUUGCUUUAACAUUUCAACAAAAGGUGUUGACAUUUAAGUUCCUUGUGAGCUAUUCAAGAUAGUUAAUUUUUUUUUCAAUUUUAGCGGUCACUCCAUACUCAAUAUGGUCAGAUUGAACUUGUGUGCUCAUUUCGCUUUUCACGCAUUUUGAAAUCCAUACUCAAUAUGGUCAAAUUGAACUUGUGUGCUCAUUUCGCUUUUCACGCAUUUUGAAACCCGAAGAGCUUGACCUUGAUUACUGUGUUAUGUGAAUUUUCUUUUUUAGUUGGGAAUGAGUUAAGUUGAGUUCGAGGAAAUGAAAAGCUCUAUGCAGCAGUGCUUGAGCUCCAUCUCUUUUGUAUCCAAAUGUUCGGUCUUCAAUUAAUAUUAGGGUCGAGUCGAGAAUGUACUUGGUGGAGCUCAAACCGCUUGAUAUCAUUCAUUUUGAAACUUAAAACUUGUUCCUUGUCCAAACAGCUUAUUGCUAAUUGUAUCCACGUAACUUCAUGGAAAAGAAUGGCCACAAUUAGGGUCCACAAUUUAGAGCAGCAACGGAUUUGUCACUGGCACGCAACCCAACUUACCUAGAAACUUCAUGAAUUCGUGGGGUGCGCUGGGACCUGCGCGUCUCUUCUAGGCCUAAAGCAAAGUCAAAGCCAAUGACUGGCUAGAUAAUUUCUUGUAGAUUAGUUAGAUCAAGGCAUAUAUUGCAGCACGCUCAGAAAGGAUGUACUAGAUCAAGGCAUAUAUUGCAGCACGCUCAGAAAGGAUGUACGUGCCUAAUCUUGCAAGACUGGUGGAACUGUCCUGAAGGCGAUCCUUAUCUGCCAGUCGGUUUCGACCAUGAUAACUCUGCGUAUUUUCAUUUCAUGUUGAAAAUGGAAGGGCCUAGUGCUGUUUACUGAGCCAUGGAGUGUGCUUCAAUUCGAGACAACCAUAGUUUAUCCAUUUAUGGCCUCAUCAAUAAUGUAAACCUUCCGAUGGCCUAAGGAAGCAAAUUUGGAUCUGAAUGAGCGUCCCACGGAUAACUAAAGGGAUGGAAGGAAGUACUUCAGCAAAAGAAGAAUAACCACAGAAGAGCACAUAAUAAAUUAAUUAAUAAUCACACGAAACCUGUUUCAGAGCAAUGCUGGACAGUUCUUUUUCAGGUUUGCUAUUUCGUCGAAAAAUGGCAGUGAACAGUCAAUUCCGCAAGUCUACCUUUAUGUUCAGCGCUGGAUGACAGUCAACAGUUUUGAUUCUGCAAUUUUUGGUCUUGAAGGCGAUUUUCUACGGCGUGUCGCCCACGGCGACUUUGCGCUUGGUGUUUUCAUCAAUAUAGGUGUUGGUUCUUUGCAUGCAAGAGUUGCACCUAUGCGCAAGCCAAAUCUCAUUUAUUCCAAAACCAUGGAUCUGUCCUGCCUCUCAAUCUUAUCACCGAUCCUAUUACUCUUACCUCUGUUUAAUCACGUAUCCCACAGUCAACAGCCAUUUAUUGACAACCAGCAGCUCAACUGCAAAAACACGACAUGUAAAGUGAAAGGUUACGUCUGCAAUGGCCAUCAAACUCAAUGCCAGUCCUUCCUAACCUUUCGUUCGACCUCCAUAUACAACUCACCACUCGCCAUCGCUUCGCUACUCAGCUCAGAUGCAUUGGACAUAGCCACCAUCAACAACAUCAAAUCGAUUACCGAAGAGAUGCCUUUAGAUAAAUUGGUCAUAGUUCCAGUUCCUUGCUCUUGCACUGGAAGCAUGUACUUGCACCAGGCCAAUUACACUGUGGCCAAGGAUGACUCCUAUUUCACCAUAGCUAAUGAUACAUUCCAGGGCCUGACCAUAGCUGGUCAGAACUACCAUGAUGCUGAUGCUGUGCAUCUUGUUGAAGGUGCACAGGUGCCGGUUCCACUAAGAUGCGCAUGCCCAAGUACUAGUGAGACAGCUAAUGGGGUUAAAUCCAUGCUUUCAUAUUUAGUGACAUGGGACGACUCGGUGGAAUCUAUUGCGGAAAUAUUUGGUGCCACUAAGCAAAGCGUUUUGGAGGCAAAUAUGAUGACGACUGAUUCCGUAAUUUACCCUUUUACUCCCAUCCUCAUUCCCCUCGAUUGUGCAAAGAAUUCCAAGAGUUCCUUCUGUUAUUGUCCCUAUGGAUAUGCUGAAGAUGUGCUACGAAAUGGCCUCAAUUGCAUGCUUGACCGGAAGAAGUUUCCUUUCAAGCAGGUUAUCGUGAUAGGUAGCCAUCAAUCUCUCUGCUAAUUAUGUCCAGCCACUCUGCAUGCCCGAUCAGAAAAGACUACCCUUUUCCUGUAUUUAUAUUGACUGUGUUGAUGUUAGUUAGUGUUAGGGAAAUCCCUUAUGAUGUUUUGAAGAUGACAAAAUAAAUCAAAGGCUACUAACAUGUUUGAUGGUUGAGUAAUAGACCAUGCAGAUAAUAGAACAUGUAAAGGAUAUUAUCAAAGUCUGAAGACUGCUAGACUCAAGACUCAAAGUCUGAAGACUGUCAGACUCGAGACUCAAAGUCUGAAGACUGCUAGACUCAAGACUCAAAGUCUGAAGACUGCCAGGCUUUAGUGUCAAAGUCUAUUCUACAUCAGAAGUCUGCUCAUUCUGACAAAUUCCAGACUGAACGUGAAUGAUGAACCAGAAGACAGACUCUAUGCUGAAGCUGAACUGGGUACAGACCUUAAAGUCUACAGACUUAGAUUGUAAAGUCUACAGACUCAGAUUGUAAAGUCUAAAGACCCAAAUUGUAAAGUCUACAGACUCAGACUUUACAUCCAGAUUCGAUGAAUCGUAACUCAAGCCCAAUCAUACAACGGCUAGUGAUUUGGUUUGGAUUCCACAUCAAGAUUGAUUUGAUUGAUUCAAUCUAAUUGAUUGAUGAUUGGAUCUUGAAGACAAGAAUUCUAUACGAAGAAGCUUUACUUAUGGAAACCAAGAUUUCGUUUGUAUGGGCGAUCGGAAUCAAUUUGGGAUUCUACCUUUGUCACUCAACGGCUACCAAAUCUUCUAGAUACAGAGCUGUCCAAUGGGUAUAUUGGAAGACGAUUCUCCGGGAUACUGUCCAACGGGUAGUUUGGAAGUGGAGGAGUAUUUAAGGAGAUGAAGGACCGAUGAGCAAGUAAGAGACGGAGCGUAGAAUUUAUAAUUCCAAAGUCUAAGCGACUUUAGAUCAUAUACUUGUCUCUUGAGAGCUUAAACGUUUGUAAUCGUGAGAGAAAUACCAAGAGAGUGACUUAGUGAGAUAGUGUGAUCUACUACUAAGUGUUUGCACUCGAAGUUGUAAUCUCUUGUUGAUUGCAUAGUGGAAUCCGGCCAAGAAGGCUGUUAUCGUGGGAGAGUGGACGUAGGCUUGGAUUAAGCCGAACCACUAUAAACCUCGUGUUCUUAUUCUCUUCCUUAACUCCUUUAUUUUGUUCAUACUAGCACUCUCAGUUAGAAAAUCUUUGACUAUUGCACGGAGAGAUACAUUCGUUAAUGCAAAAUUAUGCAUCCAAUACUUGAGGAAAAACUCGAGUGUGAAAUUAUUGCUUUUUCUUACACGUGCCAUUUUGCAUACUGCACAUCGGACCGUUGUACUUGCCUUACACCCAUGUACACUAAGCCUUUUUUCUCUUCGCAUCUUAUCUAUUGGCAACUUCCGGUCUUUGCUCAAAUGCUCCAGUUGACGCACCUGAUCUCUCUGAUGAUUCUUCCUUGCUUACAGAUUGAUAUACAACGUAUGAAUCUCAUUUGCUGUUUCUUUGUAUUGUGGCUUCAUGCAAAUAUUCAUCAUUUACUUUUUCUUCAUUUCAUUUGCGACAUGACAAUUUAAGUCCAUGGUUUAUUGUCUUCUAAGCUAAGUUUUGUGAUUGAACGCUCUCACCACUAGGGAUGUUGCAGUGAUGUGACAGUACUCCUUUAGGAUUGGUAAAGUACACAAGAAAUUGCAGGCAGCAAAUUGGAAAAUUUUAGAUGGAUUCCUUGUGAAUUUACUUUAGACGUAGGAGGGAGUUUUAUUACCUACUUCAGCAACCUAUACAUAGGCUGACUUGGGAAAGCGUGAAAGUUAGCAUUCUGACAUGCUCCAUACUUAGGAACAGUAAAAUUUAAUUGGUCAUGUCAGGCAAAUUAUUAGGAGCAUUUUCAAUAGACGGAACUAGAAUUUGUUCUCUCCCAGUUUCCUUAAAAGACUUUUCAUGUUUUAUUUAGGUGCUGGUAUUGGGAUGGGAUUCUUGUGUCUUUCGCUUUUCAGCUAUUGGCUUUACAGAUAUGUAAGGAAGCGGAGAGAUAGAAUGGUCAAGGAGAAACUGUUCAAUCAAAAUGGUGGUUUGCUGUUGCAACAAAAGUUUGCACCUUUUGGAAGAGAUGGAAGAGAGCAAUAUUCUCUGAAGAAGAUCUGCAGAGAGCAACAGAUAACUACAGCCAAAGCCGGUUUCUUGGUGAAGGAGGGUUUGGCACGGUUUACAAAGGGAUGCUGCCAGAUGGUACCAUAGUUGCUGUGAAGAAGUCGAAGAUCAUCGACAGGGGCCAAACUGAGCAUUUUAUCAAUGAAGUGGUUGUUCUAUCCCAAGUUAAUCAUCGGAACAUGGUAAAAUUGAUAGGAUGUUGUUUGGAGACCAAGCUUCCUUUACUAGUGUAUGAGUUCGUCCCUAAUGGCACGUUGUCACAGCAUAUUCAUCAGCAGGACAAAGAUUGUUCCCUUUCAUGGGAAGACCGGUAUAGAAUUGCAUGUGAAGUUGCUCGAGCAGUAGCGUACAUGCAUUCUGCAGCUUCAAUUCCCAUUUAUCAUCGAGACAUAAAGCCGUCUAACAUUCUGCUGGAUGACAAGUACACUGCAAAAGUCUCUGAUUUUGGUACCUCAAGGCCGGUUCCGUUAGAAAAAACUCACCUGACAACGGCCGUGCAAGGGACCUUCGGAUACUUGGAUCCGGAAUACUUCCAAUCUAGUCAGUUUACAGAUAAAAGUGAUGUGUACAGUUUCGGAGUUGUGCUUGUUGAGUUACUUACAGGGCAUAAGCCGACAUCCUUCUCAGGAGAUGAGGAAGGAAGACAUCUAGUUGCUAGCUUUGUCAUGCUAAUGAAGGAGAGCCGUUUGUCGAAGAUCCUAGAUCCUGUUGUGGCCAAUGAAGCGAAGGCUGAGGAGGUUCUUCUAGUAGCAAUGCUUGCCAUGAGGUGUUUGAAAAUGAAUGGGAGAAAGAGGCCUCCCAUGAGAGAGGUUGCCAUGGAGCUUGAAGGACUAAGGAAAUCUCAAAGUUUCUCUCAGACCAGCCAAAAUCCUUUGUGCAUUUGAAGAUGGACUACUGGAUGAAGCCAGUGAAGAAUCGAUAGAUAGCACGUCCAUGUCACUUGAAGUUGUAUCAAUCUCUGUAGAGACAUUGAGCUAGAACAUUCGGUGUUCAUACUGAACUUGCUGUUUCUUUAUUCUAGACAGCUUUGGGGGUAGUGCGUGUCGCAUGGAGUUAGCAGCAGCAAUUAUUAAAAUCACCAGAAGAUACCUUUCAGUUAAAUGAUUCUCUUUUACUUUACUUCAGCUUGAUGUUUUUCUUAAGCACUAGAUACCUAAGCAAACUUUAUUCAAAAGAUUUGCUGUCAAUUAAGGUGGGAGAUUGCAUUUCCAUGGAUCAAUAAUAAUGGUUAAUUAUCUUUGCAUUAGGUGAUUGAUUCAGUUCUCUUUUUCCCAAUCACUGAUGCAUGAUGCUCUGGAUAUUUUUCACACCGGCUACAUCAUAUACUAUUGUUUCUGAUCCCUUCUACAGACUUUUCAUAUGCACACAUCAACUUUGUGAGCAACUUGCUGGAGAAUAUCUAGCGAAUAUGUUGAAGCUGCUCACAUUCCUCAAUCUCCUUUGAAUAACGGGCGAUGUUGGUAUUGAAGCCUUGUGCUUUUAUCUAUCAAGUUCUAUAACAUUGUUUAUGUCCUAUGGGACAGCCAGACUUGGCCUCAUAUUGCAACUUCCGCAUUUCCAAAUUGCUUCUUGACAAAAUCCAUAGCGUAAGUAGUAUAGAAUUAUUGACAAGUCCAUACUAAAAACAACAGCACUUUUAUAGCUUUAACACAUCUAUCAUGAGAUACGGUUUCUUCGGAAGAUGCAUCACUGUUCGAUAUCAAUCAAGUUGUCCUGUUUACUGACAUGAUCCUCAGUGUAAUAGUUGGACUCUCUCUUGACUUGGCGGUGGGUCCACUUGGUUUUUAAAAACAAAACAAAAUAAGUUGAAAAGUCAACAAAAGAAGGAAAGUGAACUUCAGCUAUUUAAAGAAAAAAGGGCGCGCUUGGGAAAGAGAGCUCACCGAGAAAGUAAGGAGAAAAGAAAAAGGGUUUCUCUUAUACAUGUCUUUGGAACCUCGCCAAACCAACUCGACUCUGUAACGCAACAUUGGGUAACGCAAUGCUGGGUAAGAGCUUAAACCUCUCGUUCGUCUAAUCGAAGUAUUUUCAAGGUUUAGGACUCAAAUUCAUAAUUUUGGGAAAAUCUAGUGACAAAGUCCCAUUUUCGAGUUAUUGAGUCACGUAUUUUUGUAAAAAUGAUAGUUUAUGGUGUUGUGGAGCUGUAGGAUUUUAUGGAUCGUGAUUUGAGCUUACGGUUUGUCUGAAACAAAAUUUCGAAAUUUCUUAUGUGCGAUGAGCACUGCGCAUCCAGCAGUUUUGGGCCUGUAUUUUGUCAUUUUUUGGCUCGAUUCUGGGAGGUCAAGUUGGGAUCCUUGCAGUAUGUUUGAAGGGCUUUCUACUAACUGUAAUUACGUUCGAAACGAAAUCUGAAGGAGAAAGUUAUGGCGUAGUCAAAUUUUGCACUCAAACUCCGCGUUACGAAUGGUCUGAAUAAUCACUUUGAAUAUGCGAUUUGUUAGUGCGUAGGAGUUGUUUUGUUAGCAUUAAGACGUAGUUUAGUCAUUUUGUGGUUAAAGUGGAUUUUUAUUUAAUUUUAAUAUUAUUCAUUGAUUAUUUGAUAGGGUCGCGAGUUCAAUAAUACAAGUAUCGUUUAUUAUUUGGUCGUAGGUAACGAGGUCAGUGGCACUAUAUCUUUUUUUUGAAUUUGUAAAACUCAUGUUUCAAAAAUAUUACGGAUAUAUAUAUACUAUUUAGCACCGACACGCAACAUGUGACAUGACAUGACAUGACAUGCGACACCUCAUUUCUCAAAAAGUAAAGAAUUUCAACACGUUCCGAUAUGUUAAAUAUUAAAUAAUUAUUUUUAUUUUUAAUUAAUUUGAUUUAAAUUCAUAAAUAAUUAAUUAAUUAAAAAAAAGAGCCUAUAAUGAAUUUACACUAAUAAUAUUAAUAAAUUAAUUCAUUGGAAAUUCAAAAGUCAUAUUCAUAAUUAAUACGUAUCCAUGUUUGGAAAUAUGUUUUUAACUUUAACAAAAGUUAUUAAUAAAGCUGAUGACUAACAAGAAAUUAGAAUCAACUUGUUUAAAUAAAUUUAUGAUUUUUUUACAAUGAUCAAAAUUUAAUAUCAUUUAAAAUUUAGUACUUUUAUAUUUUUAAAAUUAUUUUUUUAAUUUUAUUUAUUUAUUUUUUCCAAUUAAAAAAAAGUUUCGCCCCACUCCCAAAUUUAUUUCAAUUUUUUCCCUCCCUCCCCCACAAGAGACUAUUCCCCCCCUCCUAAAUUUAUUUCAAUUUUUUUCCCUACCUUCCCACGUCAGACUAUUUCCCUCCACCCUAAAUUUAUUUCACUCUUUUCCCCUCCCCCACCCACGUGACAGGCUGUCACCGACUCACUUCACCCCAUUGAGUUUCCAAAAUCCUAGCUACCGAAACACUUUUUUCCUUCACCGCACGACCUCGCAACCCCUUCCUCUCCUCACUUUUUCCCCCUCGCCACACGGUCUUCCUCUUGAUCCAUCUCCAUCUCCUCGCCGCACGACCUCCAUAUGACCCCCUCCUCUCCUCUUCCUCUCAAUCCUUCUCCUCCUCCUCCACCUCGCCUUUGGCCCUUCCUCACUUGCAGUUGCAGCCUCGUCGUUGAUCCCGUAGCAUCACUGUGGCCACCCUCGCCUCAGUCUCUACUCUUUCUCUGGCAGUUUCUCGCCGUCGCGGGCUCGCCGUUGCUCGUGGCCUCAUCUCUCCUUUCUCGCCCUCGCUUCCAUCCGACACGUGUGUUGAGUUGAGACGAGUCGAAAAAAGUUGACUACGUGUCAGAAAACUUGACAUGCGUUGACCGUGUGUCGAGCGUGUCCAAGUGUGUCGACAUAUGUUGGACACGACAUGGAAGCACGGACAACGUGUCGGUGCUUCAUAGUAUAUAUAUAUGGGCAUGGUCAUUGCAUAAAAGGCGACUUGAGCAUUUGCUAUUCUUUGGUUGAUUAUGAAUGUUUCAAAAGCGUGUUAUACCAAGUUUGUGGAGUAAUAUAUAUAUGAAAAUUGCUUUGCGAUUGGUUUAUGGAAAUAUUUAUGAUGAUUGGAGAAAUGGAUCGAAAAUGGCAGAUAGCUAUGUUGUGAAAAGUUAUUUGCUUGAUUUAUAAGAUUGAUUUUGCUGGUAUUUGAGGAUGCUUGUUUAUACUUAAUAUGACUGUGAACCCGAUUAAGGGUUUUUGGAGUAUACAUACCAAGCUUAAGAUAUCACUCUAGGCUGAGCCACCAGUUUUGCAGGAGAAGACCUUGCCAAAGGGGUUGUCACCAAGUGUUGUGUUGUGACCAUGGUAGGAUAUUGAGCAAUUAAUUAGUCAAUGGAAGAACCAUUGAUGAUAUGUGAUAUUUGGUGGAGAUUAUUCAAUGGACUUGACCAAUCAAACUUGAAUUGUAAUGGUGGUUUAAAUGAGUUUUUCACAUUGGUAUAAAGCCUUGAUAAUAAGAAAUAAUUCUUAUAUGAUUCAAUAUUUAUUUUAUGUAUUGAGCUUGAAUUAUGAAUUUUGGUAUUACUUUGUAUACAUGCAUAGUAGUUGUUCGAUCUGCUUAGAUGAUAUAUACUAGUCACUAAGAUGUAAUUUCUCAUUCCACUCGUCCUUCAGUCCUUUUAGGUUCCUUGGUUAGCGACAAGUAGAGUGAGUGCGAUGUUGGUGGGAAAUUUUUGGGAGUGCUAUUUUUGGUAUGGUUUAAAGAAGUGGUGUACAUAGUUGUUGCUGAUAAUGCUAGUAUAAACACCUAGAGGGGGAUGAAUAGGUGUUAAAGAAGUUUUUGCAAGACUUAACAACUUAAUUCGACUUAUAUGAAAACGGUAGAUUGAAUAUAUAAAAUAUUGUAAACUGAUAUAUAAGACUGCGAAUUAAGUAAAGAGAUUAGGGAAAGACAAUUGAAACACAAGGUUUAUAGUGAUUCGUCUUAGACCAAGCCUACGUCUAUUCUCCCGCACUAACAGCCCACUAGUUGGAUUCCACUAAGAACCAAAAGAGAUUUUAUAUUGUCAUGUCCUUGAUUCCACAAUGUAGAGACUCUACUACACUUCCUCAAGGUCUCACAAGUAUUUGAUCUCUCUUUUAAGUACAGUUUAAACUCGACAAAUUGUAACGGCAAAGAACUAAGAGUUUCAGAUUUUGGAAAUUUUCUUUCAUACAUACACUCGAAUAACUUGAGCGUCCUCCUUAUAUAAUCCUCCAUGCCAUCAUAACCGUUGGUACCUUCCAAAUGAGUUCUUCCAAUCUUCCCGUUGGACAAAAUCAAUUAGGAAAAUCUUGAGUUGUAGCUCACCAAUCUUGCUCGCCCAUACAAUCAGGAUUUGGGUUUUCAUAAGUAGAACCUUUCAAAUAUACUUCGCCAAUCAACGGAUCUAAAUAUUCAAGUUAAUUUCAAUAAGAAUAAUUGAUCUCCAGCAAUGAGAUCUCUUUCAACCGUACGAAUCAAAUCCUUAAAUAUAUACUUGCAUCUAGAUAAGUCUUCUUCAUCGGAUAAAUCUUUUCUUCGUCGGUCUGGAAACUAUUAGUGAGGGUAGACUUUGAAUCUUGAGUUUGGAGGUCUUCAGACUUUGACAAUAGAGUCUGCAAGUCUUUAGACUAGACUGAUGGAAAUGUUUUGUCAACUUCAAAACAUAUAAGAAAGUUUUCUCCAAUAGUUGCUAGUUGUUGGGUUGGCUGAGUUUUAAUUGUAUAUGUUUUUUUUAGUGGAUUAUAAAAAUUUUGAUAUUGUAAUCAACUUGUUAAUUUAUCUUAUAUGUAUAAAUGGUUUGAGAGAUAUAUAAGUUGUUGGUUAUAUUGAGAUGCAUCCUUCGUCNNNNNNNNNNNNNNNNNNNNNNNNNNNNNNNNNNNNNNNNNNNNNNNNNNNNNNNNNNNNNNNNNNNNNNNNNNNNNNNNNNNNNNNNNNNNNNNNNNNNUGAUACUUAGAAUCCCUGCGAAACUCGGCUUCUUCAAGCCAUGUUUGCAAUGAGAAUUUUGCAUUCUCGAGUUACGACCUAGUCGAUUGAAGAUGAUUGAAUGUAGGGGUUAGAGAUUAAUGGUGUGAUUUGGAAGAAAAUUAGACCAAGCUCAAUUUGGCAUAUUUAAACUUAAUCUUUUAUAUUGAAAUCAAAUGACACUGACGAGUCCCCCGCCGCACUUGGUAUUCAAAUCCACCGCGGCACGUAUGAAUCCAAUUAAUAGCUCUGUGCAGGGCAAGAGCAAGUUUGCAUGUACUGUCCCUGGAUUAAUAGCUUUCUCUCUCUUCUGUUGUUGUUCUUUUCAAUGUUCCUUCAUCAAUGUUUAGUAGCUUUCUACAAAAUUGGAAAGCGUGCUUGUGAUCUAUAUCGACUUCAGUCUCAAGUGGCUAGGCAUAUGUCCAGGAGCUAAUGGUUUUCGAUCUGUUGAGUGAACGCCCGAUGCCUAAUUCAAAAUGUGCAUGAACGUUUUGUUUUCUUUGUGUUAUACUGAAGAGCUGUUGACGUUCAAGUUCCUCAUGAGCUGUUCGAGAUCAUUUGGAGGAUUGUUUGAGGCCAACCGGAUUCUCUUUCCAUUUUCUACAGCUGUUACAUAUUCGAUCUGAUCGGAUUGGACUCACCUGCUUAUUUCCUUUCGCGUUAGCUUGUAACAUCCCAGGUCUCCACUGUACACAUAUUGUCCGCUUUGCACACUAAGUCCUCAUGAUUUUGUUCAUCUCGGGGCAGCCCAUACUACUCCAAGAAAACGCGUAUGUAUAGUUAGAGGAGACCCAAGCCUUAUAAGUUAGCCUAGUACUCUCUCCCUAGGCGAUGUGGGACAAGAGAGGGACUCCUUCCUUGCACACAUCCGAGGACUGUCGCUCUGGCCGUCACACUCUCCACCUCUUGAUAGAACAGCAUCUUCGCUGUGGCCCAACACGAGGUCGGGAGUCAGAACAGCAUUCUUGCUAUGGUCCCACAUGCGGUCGGGAGUCGGCUCUGAUACCACUUGUAACAGCCUGGGCCCCAUUGUGUAAUAUNNNNNNNNNNNNNNNNNNNNNNNNNNNNNNNNNNNNNNNNNNNNNNNNNNNNNNNNNNNNNNNNNNNNNNNNNNNNNNNNNNNNNNNNNNNNNNNNNNNNACUCAAUCUCGGUGUCUUACGAUGUAUAUAUCUCCCUAUGCGUCGUGGCUUUUGCAGAGCUCGCCCCUCCCGCGCUCUCAUCUGGCCCUUCCCUUCAUUCUCAUGGCAUCUGUUCGCUCGGCCUUGCGAGGGAUACUGAGGGCCUGUGCUUGACAGAGCCAGAGAGAGAGAGAGAGAGAGAGAGAGAGAGAGAGAGAGAGAGAGAGAGAGAGAGAGAGAGAGAGAGAGAGAGAGAAUUGAAAUUAAAAAAAUUUGUUUAUGUUGACUAUGUCACGUAAAACAAUUGGCAUUAACGUUAACAAUUUUUGACUAAAAUUGACUGAAUUAACUUAAUUAAUAAAAUAUGAAAAUUUUUAAGACUCAAUUCAUAAAAUUAAAAUGUUUAUAACUGAAUUGGCAAAUGUUCAAUAAAUUAAAGACUUUUUGGACCUCGAAGCUUACCCAAUUAGUAAAGGUGUCAAAAUGGGUUAUGGACUCAUUUUUUUAUUCAUAUUUUAUUUAUAUAGGUUAUAUAUGGGUGAAAGACUUUUAAAAAUCCAACUAAAACUCGGUUCACAAACUGAGUCUAAUUUAAAUGGGCCAGAUAACCCAUUUUCGAUCCAUUUAAAAUAUCAAGUGGGUUAGAACAGAACCUAUUUCCAAGGUUCCAAUCCAUGCCUCACACACUUUUUUCCCUCUUUAACUUUAUAAAAGUGUUUUCUAUAAAAAUCAAAAUUAUAAUUAUCUUUUAUGUUUCAUUUAUUUCUUUAUUUCUUUUUCCUUUAUUUUUUCUUCCUCCUUCCUUAUCUAGUGGUCGACAUGGCGAUGGCUAGCAAUGAGCCAGGCGAGGCUUGAGCUUGCUAGCCUCAUGUGAGCUCGACAACGACAGCCUCACUAAUCGUUAGUGAGGCCUUGGCCUCACCAGAUCAAGCUUGUUAGCAUCAGGUGAGCUCAAGUCUCACCAAAUUCAACAAGGCCAAGCUCACCCAACACUUGGCGAGGCUCGAUCUCAUUGAUCUGGCAAGGUUGAGGCCUUGCCUAUGACUAGUGGGACUCAAGCUUGAGCCUCAUUAGAUCUAGCGAGACUCAAUCUCAUCCGAUACCGGUGAGCUCAAGUCCCACCAAUCCGGCCAAGCCGAGCUCGCCUGACAUCUAACAAGGCUUGAUCUUGCUAAUCUGGUGCAUUCGUGGCCUAGCUGAUGACUAGUGAGGCUAUGACAUCUCAGAAUGUCACCCAACAUGUGUUUCUCACAUUAUUGCUUUCCUUAUUGUGUGGAAGCGAAUAUUCUUCUACUUCUUUUAUUUAUACCACAUGUGAAUUCACAACUUCAUUACAUUUUGAGCAAAAGACAAAAGUUUGAGUAUGGGUUGGGAGAUCUAUAUACAGACUAUACUAUACCUUCAAAAGUCUGCUUAUGCAAAUGAUCAGACUGAGUCACAGGUUGAUAACGUCUCCCUCUACGGUGUCUCCAACGUCCACAUCGAAGUUACUCAACGGACGGACUAACUCUCCAUCAAGAUUCCGGUACCAAAUAACGAACCAGAAAGAAACCCAUUCUGCGAAGCCUCCUAUGUCAACCCAUAUUGUAGAACUACACUUAGUAUAUAUUAUUGCAAAUUCUAGUUCAAGCACACUUUCAUGAAAAGCGUCAUUAUACAUAGGGACUCCAUAGUGUAAGGGGUUAAGGGAUGUCCAUCCUACACAUCUAAAAAAUAAAAGAGAUGAGCUGAAACCCAUUAAAUGAAAUCUCUAGUUUUAACUUAGAAAAAUCAUCAUAUCACUUCACUUGAUAUACACAAAAUGAAUGUAUAAUCAUCCGACAAAUAUGAUACCAACAUAAACAAACUUUACCUUUUAUGUUCAUCUACUAUAGAAAUUGUCAACCAAUAGAAUGUCCAUCUAGACUUAUGCAUGUGCAUACUAUGUUUCACACAAUGAUUUGGGUUUAUACAUAAUAAUUCAUUUGAUUAAUUAAUGAUUCAUCCUUCUGAACACUCUCAGGGCAUCUCAAUUAUGAAGCAUCCUGCAAACUUCCAUCACAGGAUAUCUCGACCUAUGGGGCAUCUCGAUUCCCAAGGCAUCCUGAAACAAUUCCCGGAGCAUCCCAACACAUGGGGCAUCAUCACUCGCCACUAUAUGGGUAACGAAAUCAAAUAAGUCUCAUUUAAGCCAUAAUAUAAACACACUCACAAGUAUAACAUACAUAUCUCAACUUAAUUUAAUACAUUUAUCAAAAAACCACAUAUGAAAUAACACACUAACGUAUUAUGGUUAUUAAGAUCUUGACAUUCAAAUGAGUAUAAUUUGAGUUUGGAUAUUGAGCAGGUUCUGGACAUCAAAAUCUGGUAAAUCAAAUGAGUAUAUUCUAAAUUGGAAUAAAUAAGUACAUUUUAGAGAUAAGAUCUGAACAAUCAAAAGUAAAUUCUUGCUUGAUAAAAGCUCAUAGAACAAAAUAACAAACUUACAAAUAGACAGAUUUAGUAAUGGAUAGAAUCAAUAGAUGAAUUGAUUCAAUAAGAAGUAGAUUCAUAUUCAAUAAAGUUCGCAUGAACCAAUAAACAUACCAUCUAACAAACAGAUUCACAAAUUGGUAGAUUCAGCAAAUGAACAUAUUCACCAUUGAACAUAUUCGAGCAAACUCACAAAUGGACAAAUUCCAUCUUAGGAAAUUCUAGUAGAAACAAGUGAAACAAAUAGAUUCUAACUGGUAGAAUUCUAGCAUAAUGAAUCUAAAUAAAUAUGCAAUAGAUCAUCAAGAUAAUUGCAGUAGAAUGACUAGAUUCUUACUACUCAUAAUGAAGUAAAAUGAACAUACAAUGGGUUAUUAAGACAAAUAUGAUAGAAUGACCAAAUUCCAACCACCUAAAAUGAGGCAGAAAGAAGCAGAACGAACAUAUAAUAAGUCAUUAAGACUAAUAUAGCAGAAUGACUAGAUUUUAGCUACUUAGAAUGAGGUAGAAAGAGGGAAAACGAACAUGUAAUGGAUUAUCAAGACAAACGCAUCAUAAUAACUAAAUUCUAACUAUUCAUAAUGAGGUAGAAAGAAGCAGAACAAACAUGCAAUAAGUUAUCAAGACAAAGAUGGCAUAAUAGCCAAAUUCUAACUAUUCAGAAAGAGGCCGAAUGAACAUGCAAUGGAUUAUUAAGACAAAUAUAGUAUAAUAACUAGAUUCUAAUUACCCAAACGAGAUUGAAAGAAGCAUAACAAAUAUGCAAUAAGUCAUCCAGACAAAGAUAGCAGAAUAACUAUAUUCUAACUAUCUAGAAUAAGGUAAAAAGAAGCAUAGCAGAUAUGCAAUGGAUUACCAAUACAAAGAUAGUAAAACGACCAGAUUCUAACUACCUAAAAUGAUGUAGAAAUAGACAAAACGAACAUGUAAUGAGUUAUCAAGGCAAAUAUAGCAUAAUGAUUAUAUUUUAACUACACAUAAUGAGACAUAAAAAAAAAAAAUAGAAUGAGCAUACCAUGAGUUAUCAAGAUAAAUAGAGCAAAAUGAGCACGUUCUUAUCCAAAAUCAAACAGAACGAACCAUAAUGAACUAAAGUAAAGUAAAACGAAUUAGCAAGAAAUUAUCAAGCCACUUAACAAUCACUACACCCACAUCAAGACUUUACAUCUUACCCAAUCAACCAAGAUAGAAGUAACUAAGUAGAUUUAAGCUAACUUAACACUAUAAAUUUCACUUACCUCGAUCGAACACAAACCACAAACUACUAAUUGUUUUCAUCACCCUAGUAGCUCUUGAAUAUGAAAUUUGCUCUCUAAAUUCUUGGAUUGAAAAGUAGAACCAACACAACUGUUUGAGUUUUGGAGGAACGAAAAAAUGAGUUAUUUGGCAAGAUCAAAUGAGUUUUGUUAAAGUUAAUUGAGAUAAUUUAAUUUUUUGCAAUGCUAGGUGUAAAUUUGCAUAUUAAUUCAGCUUAAUGUGGCAAUAACGCAAAGCAAUGCCCUUGCACGUGGCCAAAAAAAAAAAAUGCAUGAAGAGAAAUGAGGCAUUUGGGGAAAAUUUGUGAUUUAAUCAUUUGUGUCAAAAUUAGUAAUAAAAUAUGGUUUGUUGGAGACAUAUGGCCAUGCAAUAUAUGAUAUAAAGACAAGUGGCACUUAAAAAUUCAAAUUAAUAAAUCUUCGCAAGGUAAACAUAGUAGGUUACGUAGCCUCUUCCCACAACCUUCAUUUGCAUUGAUUAAUUCUUUUAUCAAGAAUUAACUAAGUUUACACAAUUUACAACACUCAUAAACUAUUAUGACAACAAUAAUUUAAUUAAUACUGUUAUGUUAUUAGUACACAUAUAACUUGAUUCACACAUCAAACCUGAAACAAUAUUAAAGUUUCUGUAUGCUUGUCCAAAUACUAAAAAAAAUAAUACUUAACUCAAAAUCUAAGUAUUAUUAUGAUAACACGAAUUUCCGAAUAUUACAUAAUUAUAAAUAUGGAAAUUCCAAAUGUCAUAGAGGCUCGAGCCUCGCCGAUCUACCAAGCUCUGUGGCCAGUCGUUGGCUGUCCUUGUGGUCGGAGGCCAGCUGAAGAAGAAGAAAAAAAAAUUAUAUUUUUAAAAUAAAAAUAAUUAAAAAUUUGAUUUUAAAAAAUAAAAAAUUGAUUUUCUAAAAAAUACUUUUUCAAAAAAUUAUAAAAAUUAUCCAUUAAAUUUGUAUUACAUAAAGUGUUUUAGCAAUAUAAUUUUUUUAAAAAACAAUAGCUUUCUUAGGUUUAAUUAAAGAUUAUUUACGUUGUAGUUUUCAAUUACUCAAUAAGAUGUUCACUUUAGACAAGAGAAGCAUAUGCAUGGUCUAAUUCUUUAUAAAUGCUUCAAUUUAUAGGUUUUUAAACAUUUAUUUUAUUUUAUUUUAUUUUAUAUUUUAUUUUUAAAUUAAUUUGAAAUUUUAAUCCAAUUAGCAUAUAGCUUAAAGUGUGCAUGGAUUUUCUUAGAAUAUCAAUGGAUUUUAGCAACACGGCCAGUCAGGCAUGAGUCAUUGAAUUUACACUAUAUGAAUAUGAAUCAAAAUGAGUUAAAUAAAUCAAAAUAAUUUAAAUAGGUCAAAUAUGACCAAGAGCCUCUCAUUUGCCGAUCUAGCGAGGCUCGAUUGGCGAGUGCGAAGCUUGCCAUAGUCUCAUCACUCACUGAUUAGGUGACAUCUGAGGUCGUCGGCCUCAGGCCUUGCUAGUUUGGCAAGCUAGAGGUUCUAGCUUAUCGACGAGGCUUGAGCUUGACGGUUGUGCUUGCCCCAUUUCCUGUCCUUUCCACUGUCCUUCACUGCCGUGUGCUGAUUCGCCUCUCUCUCUCUCUCUCUCUCUCUCUCUCUCUUUCUCUCUCCAUAUAUAUACAUAUGAACAGAACGAAUCACGCUCUGAAUCACAGUCCUCUCUUCGAAAGGCGUCAAUUUUAAGCAGUUUUAGCCACACCCAUUUCUUGCAAUGGCGGCAAUCGAAGAAGCAAAGCGUCGAGACGGUCCCGACUUCUCUGCGCUGCCCGAAGGGUGCAUCGCGAGAGUCGUCUCCCUCACGAGCCCCGCCGACGCGUGCAGGCUCGCAACCCUGUCGCCGGCUUUCAAGUCGGCAUGCGAUUCCGACGUGGUCUGGGCCUCGUUCUUGCCGCCGGAGCGCCCCCAGACGGUCUCCCGGAGCGUUUCGUCGCUGAGGAGCUCUACUUCAGCCUCUGCGAUGACCCGGUUCUCAUCGGCGAUGGCAAAAUGGAAGUCAACCCGCCGUCUUCCCACCUUAAAUCGCCUCUUCCUAUUCUUUUUGUACCAUCCUUUUUUCUUUUGGCGGAAUUGAGGGGGUGAUGUGCAUCUUUAGAGGUGAUGUGCCGUCGCCUGCACGUUUCCAAACACUGCAAAUUUGGCUGGCCUAAACAAAAAUAAAUAAAUUGUUCUUUCAUUGUCGAGUAGUCGACUUGAAAGGCGGUGUCAAAUGGGUUGGAGCAAGGAAUUGAUAGAUAUAUUGACCGACUCAAUAUAAUGUAGUGCAUCCUUAGAGGUGAUCUGUAUCUGGCUUUAAGGCUGUCUGCUGCAUUUUUGUCGAUUCGGAGUUCGGAGAGAGUCUGCUUUUCGUUUCCGGUUAAUUGCUCUAAAUCCUUCUGAACUUUGUUAGCAUUUUCUCAUUAGCCCCUGAACUUUUAAAUCGGCACCGUUGAAUAGUGGCCAUGUCACUUUGAAAAGUUAACGAUUACACCCGAAUCUUGAAUUUUUCGUUGCCGUUGUUAGUGUUCCACCUGCAAAGCCGGUAAGUGUUACCUAUAAAUGGAUUGACUCAAUUCUUAUUGACCAAAAUAGCCUUUGCUGAAUUUUCUUGACUUCAUCAAUUAUGUAUCUUCUCUAUUGUAUUGACUUUAUUAACCAUGUGAUAGAGAUCUUUUGGUAUAAAACAAACAAUAGUAAGGAAGUGUAUUUUCAUGUGACAUUUAAUGCCUAUAUAGAUAGAAUAACUAGCGACUACAACAAAACAUCAUUGUUUAUGGGGAAAUUUGUAACUUUACAAACUUUUCAAGGGUCAUCAUGCAAUGGUUCUGAAGUUGAGGUGGUCUUGAAAGAUCAUCCCUUCUAUUUUCUUUUGAUCAAAUAUCAUGGUUAUUGCUUUUAUUCAACGUUAAACAUGUUUUCCUACUUCAAAUUUUGGCGAAAAAGUCACAUAAACAACUUUUGCAUAAAAAGGCCAAGACAAAAUGCUCUCACUAUUUUAUUGGAAAGGGGGCAGCACGGAUGGUGGAAUAAGUGCUAAGCUUUAUUGUUUUGUGCAUACUAUAUUCGCUGAAACAGUGAAUUGUUUUCUUAAGAUGAGGUCGGUCCAACUUAUUGUUGCUUAUGUGAAUCUAACAUGCUUUGCAGAGCUUUUCACUGGAUAGGCACAGUGGGAAGAAAUGUAUCAUGCUCUCUGCAAGGGCCCUAUCUAUAAUAUGGGGUGAUACUCCAAUUUACUGGUCAUGGACUUGCAUGCCCAUCUCCAGGUAAUACAUUUAUUUCUCCACUCUCGCCUUCAUGAAGAAAAUGUACAUAACAUUAAUUUGUUUUGUCCCUAAAUAAAUCCUCUCUUGUUUCACCCUCAGGGUGAUGAUCUUAUGGAAGGUCCUUGUGAAUGAACAGGUUUGCAGAAGUGGCUGAGCUCAUUGAUGUAUGCUGGCUCGAAAUCAGAGGCAGAAUUAGUUCUUGCAUGCUGUUGCCUGGGACCCAUUAUGCAGCGUACUUGGUAUUCAAAAUUACCCCAAGAUCUUAUGGAUUUGAAUUACUACCUGUUGAGGUGGGAGUUGGAUUUGCUGGUGAUGAUGCGGGCAAGCAUGAACGCUCAGUUUACUUUUUCGGAGAGAACCAUACACGCAGACGGCGGACCAGGCGGAAGCACGCUGGCAGGUCACUGAUGCUUGCACCUGCCUAUGGGAGUGGGAACUAUCCUAAAGAGAGAUGAGAUGGGUGGUCAGAGAUAGAGUUAGGUGAGUUCUUGACGAAGGAAGGACAAGAUGGGGAGGUUGAAAUGAGAGUCAUGGAGACGAAGCGGGGUAACUGGAAGGCCGGGCUGGUUGUGGAAGGGAUCGAAAUUAGGCCCAAGGAUAGGAAAUAAAAGCGCCUUUAUGAAGGGCAUGUGCAAGUUUGUAUGUACUGUCCCUUGAUUAAGAGCUUUUUCUCUCUGUUUUGCUGUUGUUCUUUCCAUGUUCCUUUAUCAAUAUUUAGUAGCUUUCCACCUAAUCAGAAAGCAUUCCUGUGAUCAAUAUCGACUUUUAUCAAUUUUUGGUAGAUUUCUACCAAUUCAUGAAGUGUAUGUUUUUGAUCUGGUAAUGCCUUCUGCAGAAAUGAUGGAACUUAGAUGUAGACUUCAGUAAAGUCAACACAGAUGCUCAAACACUCUGAUUGGUUUCUUUUAAAACAUCUGCAAAAUUAUUCCUCAUCUUCCCAUUCCAACUAUCUCUUUUGGUAUUGACGGGAAUGUAAGACUCCAUUGAAAAUAUAUGAAUGCAAUUUGUGUGAUGCGCUGGUGCUGGCGCCUCUUCCAGGAUAAAGGAAAGACUUAGAAAAGCAGAGUCAAAGCCAAUGACUAGCUGUAAUCACAUAUCCUACCGUCAACAUCCAUACGUUCACAACAAGCAGUUACCACUGCUCAUUCACAUUAAUCUAGACUGAAAGGUUACCACUGCAAUGUCCCUCAAACUCAAUGCCAGUCCUUCAUGACCUUUCGAUUCACCUAACUGUACAACUCACUGGUCACCAUUGCUCUGCUGCUUGGCUCAGAUGCCUUGGACAUAGCCACCAUCAACAACGUCAAAUCCACUGCCAAAAAGAUAAGUUAUGGUAACUAUGAGAUUUUAUAGGACCACUGUUUACUAUUUUAAAAGUUUAAGCUGUUAAAUGAAGGCGUGAUUUAAUAUUUAAAUUAUUCUAGCACUCCCCCUCAUGCUUACUUGGUUUUUUUUUUUUGUUUUAGUACUAAGCAUGAAUGUAUUUAAUUAGGGAGAUAAAUAGGAAUCUAGAAAGAUUCAAAUUAGAACCUCAUGCUCUAAUAUUAUGUGAGAUUUUAUGGGACUACUGCCAACUGUUCUAAAAUCUUAAGCUAUUAGAUAAAAGCGUGGUUUAAUAUUUAAAUUAUUGUAAUGGUAACUUGGUCAUGGUUCCAGUUUCUUGCUAUUACACUGGAAGAAUUUGCUUGCAUCAGGCCUCUUACACUGUGGCCAAGGGUGACACCUAUUUGCCCACAGUCAGUGAUACAUUCCAAGGCCUGUCCUCUUGCCAGGCUCUACUUGAUCAGAACUACCAUACAAAUGAGGAUUUUGUUGUAGAUGCACAGCUGAUAGUUCCACUAAGAUGCGCAUGCCCAAGUACCAACGAGAGAGCUAAUGGGGUUAAAUCCUUGCUUACAUAUUUGGUGAUGCUGGGCAAUUCUGGGAAUCCAACUACAGAAAGCUUUGGUGUCACUGUGCAAAGUGUUAUGGAGCAAAUAUGAUGACCGAACCCGAUCUAAUAUAACCUUUAUCAAACAUUCUCAUUCCCCUCACUUGUGCAGAAGAUUCCAAGAGUCAACUUCUGCUAUUGUCCCAGUGUAUAUGCUGAAGGUAGGCCAGGAAAUGACCUCAAUUGCAUGCCUGACAGGAAGAAGUUCCCUUUCAGGCUGGUUCUUGCAAUAGGUAGUCAUCAAAUCUAUCUUCUAAUUCUGUCCAGCAACACUUCCUGUCUGAUUGGAAGGGGCAGUUAGAAAAACAAUGCAUCCAAUACUAAAGAAAAAACUUGAGUGAGAAAUUAUUCCAUUUGCUUACACGCGUUUUUGCACAUUUGCAUACCACUCUUAGGACUGUUGCACUAUCUUUACACUCAUGUACACCAAGCCUUUUUGCUCUCCGCAUCUGAUCUGUUUGGCACCUUCUUGUCUAGCUCUAAUCCUCCAUUUGACGCACUUGAUCUCUCUGAUUCAUCAUAGCUUAUAGAUUGAAAUACAACACGUGAAUCUCAUUUGCUGUCUAUUUGUGUUGUGACUUCAUGCACUUCUUCAAUUGCAACAUGACAUUGUUAAGUCAUGGUUUAUUCUCUCCUAAGCUAUGUUUUGUGAUUGAAUGCUGUCACGACUAGCGAUGUUGCAUUGAUGUGACAGUACAGCUUUAGGAUAGGCAAAGUGAUCAAGCAGGCAGCAAAUUUUAAAUACAGAUGGCCUCCUUGUGAAUUUUCUUCCAGAGAAAAGUGAUGUAGAAGAGAGUUAUUAUCUACUUCAAAAAUACAUAGGUUGACUUGGGAGAGUAUGUAGCAUUCUGACAUGCUCCAUAUAUAGGAAUUGUGAAACUGGAUUGGUCAUGUCAGGCAAAUUAUUUUGAGAAUUUUGACUAGACGAAACUAGAAUGUGUUAACUCACAGUUUUCUUAGACUUAUUGUUUGCUUUAGGUGCUGCCAUUGGUAUUGGAUUCUUGUGUCUUUCGCAUUUCAGCUAUUGCCUAUACAGAUAUCUAAGGAAGCAAAGAGACAGAAUUGUCAAGGAGAAACUGUUCAAGCAAAAUGGUGGUUUGCGGUUGCAACAAAAUUUCUCACUUUUAUGGAAGAGACAGAAGAGCAACAAUAUUUUCCAAAGAAGAUCUGCGAAGCAUGACAAAUAACUACAGCCGGAGCCAGUUUCUUGGUCAAGGAGGGUUCAGCACAGUUUACAAAGGGAUGCUACCAGAUGGUGCCAUAGUUGCUGUGAAGAAGUCAAAGACCAUCAGCAGGGGCCAAACUGAGCAUUUUAUUAAUGAAGUGGUUGUUCUGUCACAGGUUAAUCAUCAGUACAUUGUAAAAUUGAUAGGAUGUUGUUUGAAGACUAAGUUUCCUCUACUAGUAUAUGAAUUCAUCCCUAAUGGUGCCCUUUCAUCAGCAGGAUAACUCUGGAAGGCUGGCAUUGAAUCACAUGGGAUGUCGCUGGAGCAGUAGCAUUCAAAACUCACCUGACAGGGCUGUGCAAGGCACCUUUGGAUACUUGGACGGGAAUAUAUCCAAUCUAGUCAGUUCACAGGUAAAAGUGACACUUACAGUUUCGGAAAUGUGCUAAUUGAGUGCAGAAGCCAACAUCCUUCUCGGGAGAUAAUGAAGGGUGACAUCUAGUUGCUACCUUUAUCUUGCUUAUGAAGGAACACUGUUUGUCAGACAUCGUAGAUCCUGUUGUGGCCAAUGAAGCAAAGGCAGAGGAAGUUAUUGCAAUAGCAAUGCUUGCCAUGAGGUGUUUGAGAUUGACUGGGAGAAAGAGGCCUACCAUGAGAGAGGUUGCCAUGGAGAGGAAAUCUUAAAGUUUCUCUCAGACCAGCCAAAAUCCUUGUGCAUUUGAAGAGGGACUACCUGCUGAAGCCAAUGAAGAAUCAAUAGAUAGCACAUCCCUGUCACUAGAACUGGUACCAAUCUAAGUAUAAGCUAGAACAUUUGGCGUUCAUACUGAACUUAAUGUUCAUUCAUCCGAGACAGUUUUGGAGAUAGCAUACGUAGCAUGCAGUUAGCAGCAGCAAUUAUCAAAAUCACCAGUAGAUACCUUUCUCAAGUGAUCCUUUUUUACUUCACUUCAGGUUGAUGUUUUUCUCAAGCGCUGAAUACCUAACCAAACUUUAUUCUCAAGAUUUGCUGUAAAUUAAAGUGGG
rnacentral:lncRNA from 1 species